rnacentral:misc_RNA from 1 species
AAAUUUCAACUUCUAUUGCUACUUGAACUGGUAAUUUGAAAAUCUGCAAUUCAGAACAUCGAAAAUUUAUAAUUUGAAAAACUAGAUCACAGAUCCAAGUGUCAGGCACCAUAACUCAAAUUUAGAAAACUGAUGGGCUGGCCAGCCAUGUUGAGCUUCUUGCACUCUGCAACAGCUAUUCAAAGGUUCCUCCAUAGAAUCCCCAUGACCGACACAGAGCGAAUAGCA